UUGAACGCUGGCGGAAUGCUUUACACAUGCAAGUCGAGCGGCAGCGCGGGGGCAACCCUGGCGGCGAGCGGCGAACGGGUGAGUAACAUAUCGGAACGUACCCAGUAGUGGGGGAUAACUAUCCGAAAGGAUAGCUAAUACCGCAUACGCCCUGAGGGGGAAAGUGGGGGAUCGCAAGACCUCACGUUAUUGGAGCGGCCGAUAUCGGAUUAGCUAGUUGGUGGGGUAAAGGCUCACCAAGGCAACGAUCUGUAGCUGGUCUGGGAGGACGACCAGCCACACUGGAACUGAGACACGGUCCAGACUCCUACGGGAGGCAGCAGUGGGGAAUUUUGGACAAUGGGCGCAAGCCUGAUCCAGCAAUGCCGCGUGCAGGAUGAAGGCCUUCGGGUUGUAAACUGCUUUUGUACGGAACGAAAAGACUCCUUCUAAUAAAGGGGGUUCAUGACGGUACCGUAAGAAUAAGCACCGGCUAACUACGU
rnacentral:rRNA from 1 species